CACGCAGGCGGUUUACUAAGUCCUUUGUGAAAGCCCGGGGCUCAACUCCGGAACUGCAGAGGAUACUGGUAGACUAGAGACAGGUAGAGGCUAGCGGAAUUCCUGGUGUAGCGGUGGAAUGCGUAGAUAUCAGGAAGAACACCUGUGGCGAAGGCGGCUAGCUGGGCCUGUUCUGACGCUCAUGUGCGAAAGCGUGGGGAGCAAACA
rnacentral:rRNA from 1 species